rnacentral:tRNA from 1 species
GAGGGUAUAGCUCAGUGGUAGAGUGCGUGCUUAGCAUGCAAGAGGUCCGGGGUUCCAUGCCCAGUACCUCCA